GUUAUGUAAAGGAUAUUUUUUUCUCAAUCCUGGUAUUUACUUUAGUCCCUCUUUGAAGAUGCAAAGCAUUGUGUCUAGGCCCUAGGGAGCUUAUUAAGAAAUCAAGGUGUUUCUCCAGCUCCAUGAGCACAAGAAAUCAAGCGGUUAAUUUGGCCUUCCAAAUUGCAAUUCGUCAAGGAGAGAAACUUAACCCAGGAACUUGCACAAGUGCAUAGAUGCCAUUGACCCUGUUAACCUGGAAAACAUAGUUGUUUUGGAUGAACAAGUCAGUGAAGAGCCUAAGCCUUCUUUGCACAGAUGGCCUGAACUAGGAGAGCAUUGACACGCCAUUUGCCGAACCAACUUCAGAUGAUGAAGAACUCCUCGCUAUUGAAGACGGCGAUGAGGCCCUGGGCCCGAUGCCGGCACUGUCCUGGUCAAGAGCAGAUGCCUCAUACUGCGCACAUCCAGAUCAGGAUCCUCGUGUCUCUGUGACUCAAGAUGGUGUGCAACAUAAGCCUGCCUAGUGAGUCCCGGAAGGCUGGAAGCUAUGUUGAGUAGUGAACAGAUCUGCACUUCUGCAGUUAGGACACAUGUACCAGGCUCUGAAGCUUUCCUAUGCAUGGAAUUGAUUGCCGGCAGCUCAACUUUAUCUGGUUAUUAGUUUCGUAAUCCAAACUAGUGCUGAAACCAUCCCCCUGUUCUAAUCUUGUAGCAUGACUAGCAUCUGCAGGACUUGUUCUGCUUGUAUCAUUUCCUGUUUCUUGUCUUUAGGUGCCAGUGUGUGUGUUACAUGUAGACUGUGUUACCACCGUUCUGCCUCAAGAACACGCAUGCACACUAGAAAAGGCAUUUGUUAGCUGCCA